rnacentral:misc_RNA from 1 species
CACCCACGGUGGACUCAACAGCAAACAAGAGGCCGUCUACCACGGGGUUCCGUUCAUCGCUUUGCCCGUCUUUGCCGACCAGCCCAUCAACGCCCAAAAGGCCCACGACGACGGGUACGCCGUACGCCAUUCGACUCGUUUGGGACCAUUUGACGCAAGAAAUUCUUUUCGGCGACAUCUAAGGAAAUCAUGAAGGUCAUGAUUUCAACAUGUUCAGGUCACAGGCUGGAGGUGCAUGUGAUUGUGGUGAUACUAGUGUCAUGAAAGAAGCUGGUUUUUGUGAACGUCAUCAUGGUCCCCAUGCUCAUGUAGGGAAACCCAUUCUGCCACCUGAACUGCUUGCUAUUUCUCAAGCUGUAAUGCCACUAAUUAUUUUACAAUUGCUUCAACAUUUGAGAUCACACAGUAUAACAGACAUUUUGGAAGAUCAACUCCAAUCUGUUCAAGAUGCAGACUGUUUCAUCACUAUGUUGCAUGACUAUAUAGUGGAAUGGGAGCAGCUAUGAGACAUGUCAUGACAUCAGCACUAAUUAGCCCACAACUUUAUGCUCACCUAACUGAAGUCCCUUCAGGUGAUUCAGAAUAUGCUCAGUUUAUGAAAGAGGCACAAAGGAUGUAUGAAAAGUCUCUAGAAAGUCUUCCAGGUCCUGAACCACCAGAUGAAUAUAAAGGUAUAACAACCAAAAAUAAAAAUGUUUACAUGGAAUUUUAUUCGGUUUAUUAUUAUCAUCAUCGGUUAUACAUACUACUGAAAUUUUACUCAGAAAUUACUCAGAAAUUUUAAUUCUGACUUGUUGAAACAUGUUGGGUCUUGUAUUUGUUAUAACAUAACAUUAGGUAAUAAUAAUAUACGUUCAUAUGAAUCUUAA